GGACAUAGCUCAGUGGUAGAGCAUCUGUUUGUCUUGCAUGCAGAAGGUUCUAGAUUCAAACCUUGAUAUCUCCA